AUCCUUGAAGAUCCCUUCCUGUAAAUUUGAUUUGACUUUUUUUUUAAGGUAUGUAUAAUGCAAAUUUAUGUAAAUUUCCAUAAAAAUAAAUAAAAUGGACUUUAUUUCUCUUAAUGCAUUUUAGAUAUCAAUGGACAUGCUUUAUUUUAUUUAGUAUGUUGUGCUAAAUACAAAUAAAACGUAUAUCUGACUAAAAUGCGUUACUUCCUUCUUUUUUUUCUCUUUUUUUUUUUUUUUUUUUUUUUUUUUAGAUGGUGCCUGACACACCCAUUUCCUUUUAGAUGGUGACUAAUGCACUAUUCUUUCACCUUUUUUUUUUUUUUUUUUUUUUACUUAACAGUAGCUGGCACUUUUUUUUAGUUGGCACUUUCUUUUUGUACAUAAUCAUAUUUUACCAGUGCACCAUUUAGGGUAGCUGGCACUUUCUUUUAGUUGGCACUUUCUUUUUGUGCAUAAUCAUAUUUUCCCAAUGCACCAUUUUACUUAACAGUAGCUGUAGCUGGCACUUCUUUUAGUUGGCACUUUCUUUUUGUAUAUAAUCAUAUUUUCCCAGUGCACCAUUUUACUUAACAAUAGCUAGCACUUUCUUUUAGUUGGCACUUUCUUUUUGUACACAAUCAUAUUUUCCCAAUGCACCAUCCCAUCACCUCUCAUUUUGGUUUUUCUUUUCCAGGCACGGGUGGUCGUUUGCACAGUCAC
rnacentral:lncRNA from 1 species